ensembl:snRNA U6 U6 spliceosomal RNA
GUGCUUGCUUCGGCAGCACAUGUACUAAAACUGGAACGACAGAGAAGAUUAGCAUGGCCCCUGCACAAGGACGACACGCAAAUUCGUGAAGUAUUCCAAAUUUUU